CGAUUUAAUCUGAAAGGUGAAAGUAUUCUACAUCAUCCUUCUAUCCGUAUUGAGUUCCACCAUUUCCAAACCUCUUAACAAGAACAAAGGCUCCAUCAAUGGUUCUGAGUUUUGAAACCAUCCUAUCAAUACAUAAGAACCAAUAUAAAUGAGGAUCCAAUGAGCUUUUAUUAGAUUUGUCAUGCACACACUUCAUACUAAAUAGAAAUGGAAGUACUGGAACAAAUGUUUUCAUGGCAUUGGUUUAGAGUUCUCACCUAUGUUGCUCUGAGUCUUCAUUUUUCUUCAACUAUCCAUGUUUGACAUAUAUCUGAACACAAAUACGAUGAUAUGAGUCUCUAAAUACAUGAACAACAAAACAUACCCAUAUAUACUAACACCUGACCGCAAGUAAAACUUAUUCUCACCCUUCUACACCAUCCUUCACAAUCUGCAUUGAAUUCCACCAUUUCCGAACCUCUUAACAAGAAAAAAGGCUCCAUCAAUGGUUUUGAGUUCUUGAAACCAUCCGAUCAAUACAUAAGAACCAAUGUAAAUGAGGAUCCAAUGAGCUUUUAUUAGAUUUGUCAUACACACGCUUCAUACUAAAUAGAAAUGGAAGUAUUGUAAGAGAUGUUUCAUAGCAUUGGGUUGGAGUUCUC
rnacentral:lncRNA from 1 species